rfam:Asian citrus Psyllid, Diaphorina citri - Florida Strain, whole genome shotgun sequence.
GCUCCCAUGGCGUAGUGGUCACUGCGCUCGCCUUGCACGCGGGAGAGCCGAGUUCGAUUCCCGGCGGGGUCA